rnacentral:rRNA from 1 species
ACCCAAUAGAUACCCCGGUAGUCCACGCUGUAAACUAUGGGUACUAGGUUUUGGGAGUGUCGACCCUCUCAGAAACCGCAAAGCUAAACGCGUUAAAGUACCUCGCCUGGGAAGUACGGUCGCAAGACUAAAACUCAAAGGAAUUGACGGGAGCCCGCACAAGCGGUGGAGCAUGUGGUUUAAUUCGUCAGUAAGCGAAGAACCUUACCAAGGCUUGACAUACUCGGAAUCUUUUGGAAACAAGAGAGUGCCUUCGGGAAUCGAGAUACAGGUGCUGCAUGGCUGUCGCCAGCUCGUGUCGUGAGAUGUUGGGUUAAGUCCCGCAACGAGCGCAACCCCUUUUGAAUGUUGGAUUUUCAUUCGAGACUGCCUGGGAUAACCAGGAGGAAGGUGGGGAUGACGUCAAGUCAGCAUGGCCCUCUGAUGCCUUGGGCGACACACGUGCUACAAUGGGGAGUACAAUGGGCCGCUUAACCGAAAGGUGAAGCUAAUCUCAUCAAAACUACCCUCAGUUCAGAUUGAGGUCUGCAACUCGACCUC